AGUGAACGCUGGCGGUAGGCCUAACACAUGCAAGUCGAACGGCAGCACAGUAAGAGCUUGCUCUUACGGGUGGCGAGUGGCGGACGGGUGAGGAAUACAUCGGAAUCUACUUUUUCGUGGGGGAUAACGUAGGGAAACUUACGCCAAUACCGCAUACGACCUACGGGUGAAAGCAGGGGAUCUUCGGACCUUGCGCGAUUGAAUGAGCCGAUGUCGGAUUAGCUAGUUGGCGGGGUAAAGGCCCACCAAGGCGACGAUCCGUAGCUGGUCUGAGAGGAUGAUCAGCCACACUGGAACUGAGACACGGUCCAGACUCCUACGGGAGGCAGCAGUGGGGAAUAUUGGACAAUGGGCGCAAGCCUGAUCCAGCCAUACCGCGUGGGUGAAGAAGGCCUUCGGGUUGUAAAGCCCUUUUGUUGGGAAAGAAAAGCAGCAGGUUAAUACCCCGCUGUUCUGACGGUACCAAAAGAAUAAGCACCGGCUAACUUCGUG
rnacentral:rRNA from 1 species